GUGCUUGCUUUGACAGCACAUAUACAAAAAUUGGAACUAUAUAGAGAAGACUAGCAUGGCCCCUGCACAAGGAUGACACGCAACUUUGUGAGGUGUCCAUAUUUUUA
rfam:Myotis davidii contig117111, whole genome shotgun sequence.